UGUGCAGUGUGCUUGCAGAUGGCAGGUGCUACGACUUGUGCGUCCUUAGUCUCCCUCCCCCCACACACUGCUUGAGUCCAGUCGGGCCACUGUCCCACUGUCAUGGACAGGCCGAGUGCUUCUCGGGCGCUGGGCUUGCCCAAGCUGUCCUGUGCCUGCGACCUCAGACCUCCCGCCCACUCUCAUCCUUCCUGCGCCUGGGCAAGAGCCCCCACUCUUCUUGAUGUCCCUUCCAGUCCCCACCACCCCCUGGGUCUGGGCCCCAAGACUUGCCUCCGGGGUGUUCUGACUCUGCAGAGCCUCACGCUCUCACCCCGAGUGGCCAGGCUGGAUCCCAGCUACACCAACCAGUGCCCGAGGGCAGUGGGCUGGGGCCUCCCGGCUGCAGGUGGGCAUGGGUGAGGGGCUCCCGGCUCACCGUGCUGCAGAUUGAUUCGUUCCACGUGCGGCGUCCCUGGUGUGUCCUGCUGGGGAUGAUCUGAAAAGUGAUUUCACUGCUGCACAGAGAGAUCUAGAAGCCAAGUAGACCCCAGAUGAGCCAUAUUAAAGGACAUGUGUGUGACACGUGUAUGGGACGUGUGAGUGUGUGAGUGCGUGUGAGUGUGUGUGCUCCUCUGGGUGGGAUCUGGGCUGUGACAGAACUAGUUUCCACUAAUGCUGCCCGAAAACUCAGUCACUCCUGAUGCCCCCCACCCAAGUCCAAGGCUGGCCGGGCCACCUGUCUGUCCCCCAGCCUACCCUCGGGAGGCCCCUCCUCUCCUUUCACCCCACCCUCCGUGACAGCCCUGAUGCAUGCUGGGGCCCUCCCAGCCCCUCUUCUCGUUCCCUGGCCACACCUGGGCUGGGCCUGUGGGCACCGGCCGUCUGAGGGGCCUGUCUGCGGCUCCUCUGACACAGACCCUGUGUUUCCUCACUCCAGGCCCUGGGGGACCCGAGGCCUUGGAGACGGUGGGACUGCAGCUGCCUGACCUCCUGUGGCCGACCCGUUGGUGUCCCCCCAGGACUGCCCUGCAGCUGCUCCAAGCUGGGGCUCAGUGCUCAGGGAAGUGGGUGAGAGCAGGGGGAGCCAUCUCCCUGCGCUGGGGACACGGCCUGCUGGGUGUUCCCUCCAGCCCUUCCAGAAAACAUGCCUGGACAGCCAGCAAGGCUGGGGGAGGGACGGAGGGGGAGCCCCCACCCCUGGGAGGACAGAGCAGGGGCUAGAGGAGGAGGGCGGCUUGGGCUGGGGGUGAGGCCAGCUGGGCAUCAGGGCCUGCCGCAGGAGGGGGCCUCUCCAAGAUCCCUUGUGUCCCUGGAAGCCUUGGGGCCUUGGGAGCGGUGGAGGAGGUCCUUCACUGGGUGACAGCCACUCUGGGGUCUCAGGGCUCCCUCUUGGAGCCUUGGGAUUUCUGGGAGCUGCCUGCCCGGACGGUGCCCACCUCGUUUUCUUUCCCUGCCUGGCCCUCACCCUGCAGCCCCCACUUCCCAAACACCCUCCCCUGGCCCCUGGGCCCCUCGGAGCUACCUGCGGCUGUCCUGAUCAGCGGAGCCUCCCCUCUGUGGAGGGCUCCUCCUGCAGCUCCCGCCUCCGGCUGACCCACCAGGGCAACAGGCCAGCGCUGAGCACUGCCCGGAGCCUCGGAAAAUGCGAGCUCAGAGUGGAGGACGAGCCCUCGCCUGCUGGAGGAGAUGGCUUUGGAAGCAGAGUCCGCCCCAAACCCAAUUCCAGGCCCGGCAGGAGGGGGUUGGGGGGGAGGAGGGGCUGAGCAGGGAUGAGGCUUCAGGAAGGAAUGCCCCGCUCCUCCGCCUCCUCCUCCUCCUCCUCCUCCAGAGCCCCCCCAGAGUCCCACUGGGAACUCAUCUCUCCGCCUGGUGACGUCACGCUGGCCCGAGCACUGCAGCCCUGAGUCCAGCUGUUAAUCUCCCUCGCAUUCUGCUGCUUGGCAAAGCUGCCCGGGAGAGGGAGCACCGGGUGGUGCACUGCCUGGCGCCUUCGGGCUGCUCCAGUGGGCAGGUCCCCGCCCCAUCGUUUCAAUUUACUGAGGGGCUGAUGCGGGGAAGCCGAAGCCGGGGCAGUGGGGUGAGGACUCCAUGCAGGGUGGUGCAGAAUUGUCCGAGAGGUGGGCGACGACACCCAGGGGGCUCCCCACUCCCCCUUCCCACUUGGGAUCUGCCGAGAACCCCUGUGGGCUUAUGGAACCAGGAAUUCCCUUUCUCCAGCCCUAAUAGCAAUCAGAUGGUGCAAGUGGAAAAUCACAGGCUCAGCGAGCGGGAACUUGGCAGGCUGUGGUGCCGGUGCGAGCGCCGCUCAGUGGGAGAAUGAGUCAACCCCCUUCCCCUGCCCCGCAAGCCCCUCAGGGUCCUGGAACGGGUCAGUGCCCAGGGCACCUGGCACCGAGCCCAAGCCUGGGGGUUCGUGCGGGAGCUGGGGGGGCGGCGACUGUGAGGACUGAGGUGGUGAGGACUGGCCCUCUCCUGCCCUGGGCCAACUUUCUCAUGGUUCAGGAAGCCCAAGGGAAUCCUGAGCUUUCGCUGCAGGAGCAAACGGUACCCGGACUGGAGAAAGUGUGCCCUGGUGGGCACCUUGAAGAGAACCUCCUGCACCUGCCCUGGAGCUCCUCCCUCCUGCUUGUCCAGCCCAAGUGCAAACCUUGGCAGGAAGGAGUCUCAGAUUGUUGCCUGCACAACCCUGACUGCUGGCUCCUGGGGUCUCUUUUCUGGGGCGGAGGUUGGAGGGUUCCGGGAUGCUGGAGGCUCACGGGCCACACCCGAGGCCGAGAGAGAGGCUGGCAGGCAACAGGCAGGGUGGUGACCCGUCCCCUCCUCUCCCAGGGCAGCCAGCUGGGGCCCAGCUGGGCCGCUUGUUUACAUGGGAGGCCGGGGGAGGCCGAAUCCAGGCAAGUUCCAAGUGUAAUUGCGUUUGGACACUUAAAAGGAAUUGUGUGAAGUGGGCAGUGGCUCUGAAGUCCACCGCCUUAUUUGGUAUGGAAAUUUGUUUCUCUCAAAAUAAGCGAGAGGUGCUUGUAAAUGGCAGAGCGUUUGUGGAGUCCCGCUGCCAAGUCUCGGUCUGUUGGGGCUGCUACAACACAACCGCACAGACUGGCUGGCUGCUGAGCAACACGUUUACUUCUCACGGUCCUGGAGGCUGGACGUCCAAGAUGAAGGCAGUGGCAGAUUUAGUGUCUGCAGCAACAGGAAACUGAUGCAGGGCGGGUGCCAGGCCGGUUUAGCCAGGGCAGGGCUGGAAGCUCUUUCUACAGAGAGGACGCUUUAACCGAGACCUGCAGGAGGAGGAGGAGGAGGCGCCUCCCGCUGAGUCCUCAGGAAAGCACUGCAGGGCCUCUGCCACCUCCCACCAAGACUGCCCACUGCAGCCUGAGCGCCACGUCUGCCCCCCGCCAGCUCCUUCCUCAGUGUGGGUGACCCACCGUGUGCUCCCCUGUCCUGCCCACCUCCAACCCCAGGGUCAGCCUUGGUGCCAGGCUUGGUCUACCUCAUCCUCACGCACCUGCCCUGCCCCCGCCUGGAGCAAACCCCAGAUGACACAUCAUUCGACCUGUGACCAUUUCAGCACCAGACCGAACAUUCUAUGUGUGUGAAUCAGGAGCCACGCACGGCCACCCCCACGGGCAGACGUGCUCCUGAGCACCUCUGACUCUGCCCCCAUCUCUCUCCCUCCCGCCCUCCUUCUCCCCCACCCCGAGUUGGGUCAGGAGACAGACACAUCACAUGGUUAGGGAAACAGGUUCACACGGAGUGUGGGCAGGCAGAGGAAUGGCCACUGGGCCUGGCUGGUGCCCACGUGGGCACAGAAGCUGCAGAGCCCUGGGAGGGGCCAUCGGCCCCCGUGGGCCUGGAGCAGGAGCUCGUGGAGAGGUCUGGCCACCACGGCCUUGUGGAGUAACGGGCCCCGCCGUGCUCCCCUUCCAAACCAUACUGUGAUUCAUGCUCUGACCCGGUUUCCAGCGUCAGGAGGAUGGGAUGGGGCCGACACACAGUCGCACACAGGCAGCCCCUUUGUGACUUGGUGUGAUUAUGUUCCUUCAACUAGACUUCACUUUUUCGGGGGUGAGGUGCAAGGACUUUAUCUGGGCCGUGACUCCAGGAAACACUACAGGGAUUACAGUGACAAGAGACACUUGCAAAGCCUAGGCGGGUCCCCGCAAGGGCUGCUUGAGGGGCCGGAGUCUGGCUGGAGCAGCGUGGGGACGGCUGUCAGACCCGCCGGGGGCUGGUGGAGGCUCGUUCCAGAUCCGGGGAGCAGGAGGGAGGGAGGCAAGAGACGACGCUGCCGAAUGCUGAGGUUGUGUGCUGGGCUCCCUCCAGGCCUGUCGCUGGUGCAUGUGUGCAAAUAAAAUUCAAAUAUGUCUUGAUGUCCACACCAAAA